GGCGGUUUGUCCGAGUGGUUAAGGAGUUGGACUUGAAAUCCAAUGGGCUCUGCCCGCGCAGGUUCGAACCCUGCAGCCGUCG
rfam:Eimeria praecox, Houghton, WGS project CBTT01000000 data, contig: Eph_contig490_3